UGUACACACAAUGCAGCAAACCCGCGAACUGUUGUUGUCCCCGGAGGGGCCUCGCCCGGAGGUGAGGUCGUCGAUGGCGUGGAUCGGUCGAGAGGCCGGCCCGUGGGCGAAGCGGGGUCCUCGCCGUCGGCUGGAGUGUCCCAAGUUCGCGGUUCCGGUGGCGGGGAGCUGGCUGCCCCCUUGGCGGGGGAGCGAGUCGCUCCGAGACCGGGGCCGGGCACUCCCCUCCCCCUCUGUCCCCGUCUUUGGGGGCUCUGGGGCCAUUUUUCUCAGGAAGCACGACGAGGAACAUGAACGCAGAGACUGAGCCCCGGGGCUUGGCGUCGCCUUUGCGGGCGGCGCGGCCCGAGUCGAAAAGCGAAACAACGACUCUCAGCAACGGAUAUCUUGGCUCUCGCAACGAUGAAGAACGCAGCGAAAUGCGAUACCUAGUGUGAAUUGCAGAAUUCCGCGAAUCAUCGAGUCUUUGAACGCAAGUUGCGCCCGAGGCUUGUCCCGAGGGCAUGCCUGCCUGAGCGUCACCGCACUCCCACCUGGGCGCACCGCCUCAGCGUGGAACUGGCCGUCCGGGACCCGGCGCGAAAGCUGUGGGUUGCGGUCGGCUGAAAUGGAGCGACCCGGACGCAGCCGGAGAGAGAGGGGCCGCGAGAAGGUGAUCCGCUCUUCGCAGGGCGGAGUCUGAUUGGACAGCGACCCCCCCUUUCUGGCCGUUGGGUCGGCGAGYGAGAGGGACGGGGAGUGCGGAUUCUCCCCUCCCGCGCAGAGCUUGGACCUCAGAUCAGGCAAGAGUACCCGCUGAGUUUAAGC
rnacentral:rRNA from 1 species